rnacentral:rRNA from 1 species
AGUGAACGCUGGCGGUAGGCCUAACACAUGCAAGUCGAACGGCAGCACAGUAAGAGCUUGCUCUUACGGGUGGCGAGUGGCGGACGGGUGAGGAAUACAUCGGAAUCUACUUUUUCGUGGGGGAUAACGUAGGGAAACUUACGAUAAUACCGCAUACGACCUACGGGUGAAAGCAGGGGAACUUCGGACCUUGCGCGAUUGAAUGAGCCGAUGUCGGAUUAGCUAGUUGGCGGGGUAAAGGCCCACCAAGGCGACGAUCCGUAGCUGGUCUGAGAGGAUGGUCAGCCACACUGGAACUGAGCCACGGUCCAGGCUCCUACGGGAGGCAGCAGUGGGGAAUAUUGGACAAUGGGCGCAAGCCUGAUCCAGCCAUACCGCGUGGGUGAAGAAGGCCUUCGGGUUGUAAAGCCCUUUUGUUGGGAAAGAAAAGCAGCAGGUUAAUACCCCGCUGUUCUGACGGUACCCAAAGAAUAAGCACCGGCUAACUUCGUG